UACGUAGGGUGCAAGCGUUGUCCGGAAUUAUUGGGCGUAAAGAGCUCGUAGGUGGCCUGUCGCGUCGGCUGUGAAAACUCGGGGCUCAACUCCGAGCUUGCAGUCGAUACGGGCAGGCUAGAGUUCGGCAGGGGAGACUGGAAUUCCUGGUGUAGCGGUGAAAUGCGCAGAUAUCAGGAGGAACACCGGUGGCGAAGGCGGGUCUCUGGACAUUUCCUGACGCUGAGGCACGAAAGCCAGGGGAGCAAACGGG
rnacentral:rRNA from 1 species